AUUCUACUCCCUCCGUUCCACAAUACAUGCCUUCUAUUUGUCAAAAUAUAGAUGUAUCUAGACAUAUUUUAGUAUAUAGGUACAUCCAUUUUUGGAAAAAUUGAAGUCAAGUAUUUUGGAAUGGAGGGAGUACACA
rnacentral:pre_miRNA from 1 species